rnacentral:lncRNA from 1 species
CCCCUGCGCUGGGCCCCAUGGACACUGGCGACCCUGGUUAGAGCCCAGGGUGCGCCUCGUGCCCAAUAAGGGUAUCCCAAAGCGGGCAGAAUGCUCAUUAGGGGAAGGUGAGACACCUGGGGCAGAGAAAAAAAAAAACCGCGCCGCAAAGAAGCGGGACCUGGGUCCCCCACGGAUGAAAGUGUCUUCCCAUCAGCCCCUGCCCUGGGCCCCAUGGACCCUGGCAACCCUGGUUCGAGCCCCAGGUGCGCUUCGCGCCCGCUAGGGUUACCCAGAAGCCGGCAGAAGGCCCAUGAGAGGAAGCUCCUGCUUCAGGUGCAGAAACACAGCUAUUUCCAGUGCCAGCUGUUGAGCCAGUGCCAGCACCAGGGGCAGAGCCCCUUCCAGGGACAGCGCUGGAGCUAGAGGAAGCUCCAGAGCCCUCCUGCCGCUGCCCUGGGACUGCACAGGACCAGCCCAGUGAGAAGCUGCCUGACUCCAUGGCACCUCCUGUAGAGCCACCGGCCUCAGCCCUGGAGCUGAAAGUGUGGCUGGAGCUAGAGGUGGCAGAGAGGGGGUGACCAGCACAGCUCCAGCCAGCAGCUCCCACACUGCUCCCAGUCCUGGGCACAGUGGAAGCUAUGGAGGCAGAGACCAGGGUGUGCAACCUGGGCUCCUCUGCCUCACUGGAGAGGGACUUCUCUCAUUCAGCAGAGCAGCAGCCCUGCUGCUGAAGGCCCUGCUGCUACUGCUGCUGGGGGUGUUUGCCUGCCUGCAGGAGGUGCUGGAGAGCAAGAAAAGGAGCCUGUGAGCAGGGGUUCCAGCAGGUCCUCCGGCUCCCAGAGGUGACCUCCUCCUCCAGGAAUGGAGGUUUGCCCUCAGCUGGGCAUCUGGGCCAUUUGCCUCUAAUGUGCUGCCCAGGAUGGCCUCUUCUUGACAGGUGGACAGGGGUUGAGGGGGCCAGGGGGCAUCUCCAAAGGAAGCUCUUAAACUCAGCAGCAGCACUCCAGAAUCUCCAUGCCUGCACCUGCCCAAGGAUUUAUUCAUAGCUUAACUAAGAAUUUCAAAUUUCUACCAUAACACUGAAAUAAAGUUUGACUUUUUGAAACUUCU